rnacentral:misc_RNA from 1 species
UGGACGUUUUUGCUUCUUUUAUACAAGUCACUUUUUACGUAACUUCAAAUCUAUGCAAAUUGAGUGUAAUUGCACUUGCAAGAAUAUAAGUAUGAGUCCACCGGCUUUAGGAUUAGGAUCGAUCAGUACACUUCGUGAAGCGGAUGCAUUAACAUCGAAGAGUGGUUGCAGAAACGUCACGGAUUUUUACGUGCGCAACGUAUCUCGUCACAAUGGCGCGGGAAUAUGCAUUAUACCAUCAUCAGCCGGCGUUGCUGUUAUUUCUUUGCUGCAUUGCAUUGUCUACCACAAUUGCGCAGCAUUGCACGAAAAAUGAACUUGAUGCAGUUUGCGACGAGAGACGAUCUGAGUUUCAUGUGGAAUUGGUUCAAGUGUUAAUAAGACAUGGAGAACGUACACCGUUACUUAAGGAAAUGUACCCCAGGGAUCCAUAUAAUGUGUCAGUUUAUGAACCUUGGGGUCUUGGCCAACUGACCAAUAAAGGAAAAUUGACGGAAUAUCGAAUCGGCACAAUGUUGAGAGAACGUUACAACGAUUUUCUAGGGUCAAUUUAUCAUCCACGAGAUAUCUAUGCUGUCAGCACAGACAUCGACCGGACGAAAAUGUCUCUGCAGUUGAUGUUAGCAGGGUUAUAUCCUCCACAUCCAACACAAUUAUGGAAUCCGGAUUUACCAUGGCUAGCUAUUCCUACGCAUUACGCUCCUGAAAGAGUGGACACAGUGCUAAAACCUCAUAACUGCCCAGUAUAUAUAGCAGCCUUAGAAGAGGUAAAAAGAACCAAAGAAGUCCGUGAUAAAAUUGCAAUUUACAAAGACUUUUUAACAUUUUUGAGUGAGAAAACUGGAUUAACCAUCGAAGAACCAAAACCCGCUUACGAAGUUUUCAAUCACCUAACAGCACAGAAAAACAUGAAUCUAACUUUACCGGAGUGGUGCACUGACGAAGUGUACCAAAAGAUGCAGGACUUAGUCGUGUUGGAAUACGAGAUUCGUUCGUACAAGACUCAAUUAAAGCGAUUGAACGGCGGCAUGUUGAUCAAGAAAUUUAUCGACAAUUUGAACAUCACAGGAAAAAAUAAGAUUCCACGCAAGAUGUACGUAUACAGCGCCCAUGAGGUAAAUAUUGCAGCGUUUGCCGGAGCCCAUAAUAUCAGCGAGCCGCGCUUACCAGAUUAUGGUUCAGCAUUCAUAUUUGAGAAGUUACGAGAUGACGCUGGUGAACUCUACGUCAGGAUUAUCUUAUGGACCGGCAGAACAGAAAAGUUGAUAACUAUGAAGCUUGCAGACUGCAAUGAACUUUGUCCUUUGGAAACUUAUUUAGAGCUCGUACGAGAUGUGACACCGUCGGACGAGGAGACAACUUGCUUGUGGAAUGAUAUAACCAGAGAAGAACUACUGAAACUUUUUGAGGAAAGACUCUAUUUAGAUUAAGCAAGUUUUGUUCAGGAAUUAAAUUAUGUAGGUACGAGUACAUAUUUUCAUACGGCGCAAAAAUAAAUAAUAAGGAUUCAGAAUAAAAGGAGAAGAUAUUUUAAUUUUUUACAUUAUAUUUCUUAUUCUCUCUUCAGUGGAGAGACUGGUUUUAAAGAAACAAUUUCAAAUAAGGAGAAGAACAUAGCAGACAAUUAAACUUGGAAAGAAUUGUUGCAAUAAAUAUAUUUGAGUCUGUCCUAUAAUGAUGCUAAAACUUUGUCACAUUUCUAAUGUUUUCGUUAACUUCCAUACCACGCUGAAAGUACCAGUUCUCGUCUUACAGGAUACUUUUAACAAGCUUGAACAUCACUACAAAACAUGGAAAUUGCACAUUAACAUAAACAAAUGCGAAACAAUAAUAUUCAGAUCUAACUUAAUUUAUGCCAAUAGCAACGUAAGAAAAAACUACAAAACUUUCCAAAUAAAAGGUCCUCCCAAAGAUAACAUCGCACAAAGCAUUCCAGACAAGAAGUUUAUCAAAUACUUGGGAAUUAAUAUAGACGAUAGACUACAUUACAAAACACACAUUGACACACAGAUCCUCAAGGCUAAUAAGGCAUUUGGACACUUGCGUAGACUUUUUUAUUCAAAAAUAUUACAUACAAAAAUAAAAAUAAUCUGUUACCAACUACUAAUAAGACCCCUAAUAACAUAUGGAUGUCCCAUAUGGUAUAACAUCAGUGUGUCGCUUAUGGAGAAAAUUCGAAUUUUCGAAAGAAAAUGCCUGAGAGCCUGUCUUAACAGGAACAGAUCGGCAGAAUCAGAUUACACAAAAUACAUAAACAACGUAAAAAUAUAUAACGAAGCAGGCAUACCUAGGAUAGACAAUUUCAUUAUCAAACUAAUUCGCGAACAUUUUCGUCAAGUGAGCAGAAUUACCGAAAAUAGUCAAAUACAAUGUGCGUUGUAUCCCAAUCCGAUGUAUCACGAAAAAGCAUUAUGCACCGGCUUCAUCCCGCCUGAGGCAUUUCUGUAUCUCGAUUAUAAUGGUUAUAUACAAGAUAAUAACGGCGUACCAUUGAUAUAUCAUUAUCCGCGACGAAAUAACAAUAAAAAGUUGGGGUACCCCCCACAUUCAUCAAUACACGAUAAUAAUAUACCUUGGCGAUAUAGUUAUUUACUACCAAUUACCGAAAAAUUAAAA